rnacentral:rRNA from 1 species
UGGGGAAUAUUGGACAAUGGGCGCAAGCCUGAUCCAGCAAUGCCGCGUGAGUGAUGAAGGCCUUAGGGUUGUAAAGCUCUUUCGCCCGCGACGAUGAUGACGGUAGCGGGAGAAGAAGCCCCGGCUAACUCCGUGCCAGCAGCCGCGGUAAUACGGAGGGGGCUAGCGUUGUUCGGAAUUACUGGGCGUAAAGGGCGCGCAGGCGGCUGCUCAAGUCAGGCGUGAAAGGCCUGGGCUCAACCCGGGAAUUGCGCUUGAGACUGGGCUGGCUUGAGUGUGGGAGAGGAUGGUGGAAUUCCCAGUGUAAAGGUGAAAUUCGUAGAUAUUGGGAAGAACACCGGUGGCGAAGGCGGCCAUCUGGACCGCAACUGACGCUGAGGCGCGAAAGCGUGGGGAGCAAACAGG